AACGCACCUUGCGCCCUUUGGUAUUCCGAAGGGCAUGCCUGUUUGAGUGUCAUUAAAUUAUCAACCCAAAAGCUUUGUUAUGAAGCUCUUGUGGCUUGGACGUGGGGGUUUGCUGGCUUCCUUCAGUGGAUGGUCUGCUCCCCUUAAAUGCAUUAGCGGGAUCUCUUGUGGACCGUCACUUGGUGUGAUAAUUAUCUAUACCACUUUGACUUUGAAGCAAAACUUAUGGGAACCCGCUCAUAACCGUCUGCUUGUCGGACAAUUUUUGACAUUUUGACCUCAAAUCAGGUAGGACUACCCGCUGAACUUAA
rnacentral:misc_RNA from 1 species